UACGUAGGUGGCAAGCGUUAUCCGGAUUUACUGGGUGUAAAGGGCGUGUAGGCGGGAAAGCAAGUCAGAUGUGAAAACCAUGGGCUCAACCUGUGGCCUGCAUUUGAAACUGUUUUUCUUGAGUACUUGAGAGGCAGACGGAAUUCCUAGUGUAGCGGUGAAAUGCGUAGAUAUUAGGAGGAACACUAGUGGCGAAGGCGGUCUGCUGGACAGCAACUGACGCUGAGGCGCGAAAGCGUGGGGAGCAAACAGG
rnacentral:rRNA from 1 species